rnacentral:rRNA from 1 species
AUGAAGCAUCUCCCCCUGAUGCUUGAGGGUUUAGCCAGAGCUUGGUUGAAUCAGUUGGCCCCUGGGAGUAUUUUAUGCUGGGAAGAGUUGGCCCGAGUGUUUGUCAAAACAUUUGAGGGCACCUGUAAGCGACCUGCUGGGCUGGCCGAGUUGCAGCACUGCGUUCAGAAACAAAAUGAGACUCCGAGAGACUUUAUUCAGAGAUGGACUACCCUUCAUCAUACCAUACAAAAUGUAUCAGAGCACCAGGCAGUGUGCGCCUUCAAAGAGGGCGUUCGAUACAAAGAGCUCAACCUGAAAUUCGGUCGGACUGGGGAUAUGUCCCUGGGUCGAAUGAUGGAAAUAGCCACUCGAUAUGCUAAUGGUGAAGAAGAAGAUCGACUCCGCAGUGGCAAGAUCAAACCAGUCGCCCAGGACGUAGGAGGCAGAGAUUCAAGUCAGAAGCAGAAGCACAAAGCUGAACCUCCAAGUCCUGUUGAGGCUGCAGUUCUGAAAGUUCAAAGGAAAGCCUAA